rnacentral:tRNA from 1 species
GGUGGCUCAGUGGUAGAGCGCUUGCCUUGCAUGCAAGAGGCCCUGGGUUCGAUUCUUUAGAACCA